ensembl:lncRNA
GUUGCAGCAACCUAACAGCAAAGUUCACUUAGAGGGAAAAGAAGAUUAUUGGGAGAGAAUGUGCAUUGUUGGACAUCUCAGGGGGCCUAACCCUGAGUUGGCCUUAGCUUGGUGGCAACAGGAAAUCUAAGGGAUCCUCACAGAAACAGCAUUCACUUUGGAACACACACCUUCGGUGGUGCUAGAGCUUGUCAAGUUGACAACUAAGAUUAACCACCACAUUUGAGUAUUGACAUGGACUCUGAAGCCCAGUUUAUCUGCAUCUGAGAUCACAGUCCUGUCACACUCUGUUCUCUCAGUCAUCAUGAGAAUUUCACCAACGUUGUCCAACAGCUGUGGCCAAGAAUUAGCCAGAGGCACUAAGAGAUGACCUCAGAAAUAAUUAGCAGAAAGGCCUGCUCCAGACUGAGGAUAUAGAUUCUGUACAAGAUGUAGUGAUCCACACCAUUCAUAACUCCUUUCAGAGCUGACAGUUUGACAGCAAACACUUAGGUCCAUUUGAACCUGGCCUUAUCACCUGCAAACAGGGCCUUGCCCAGAAUGGAGCCAUUGCAUACAGACCUUCGCCAGUAACCAAGAAAGUCUUUGCUACUGUGACCCACUGGGAGACAACUCUAAUGACGAUGGCAUCUCAACUCCCAUCUCUGUUCAGUCUUGCUUCCUCUCCUUCCUCCAGGCAUCCAUCCCUAAUGCCAAACCCUGCUCACAACAAGCUUUGGUAUUGCAAUUGUUCCCAUCUCAGCACAACGCCCCAUCCACAAAUGGUUACCAUUGGUGUCCGCUACAGAGGCAACCCUAGUGGAGGUGGUUUCCUCAGCUUUCAUCUCUAGGACGAUUUUUCAGGUUGAUUUACUCCAACAAGUGAGGACACCAUCAGAUGUCAAGACUUACAUUCUUGAUGAUGAUUCUUUGCUGCCCUCUCCCCAGAAUGACUCACCAAGAAGUACUGAUUGGCAGAUCUGAAAACACAGAGCCAUCAGCUUGCGUGACCUUACCUCUUGUUGUCUUCUGGAGAGAGAAAAUGUGUCUCAAGAACAACUUACUGCCCACUGGGAUUGAAAACACUGUAGUUUAGAUGUAAAAUGGCCACUCGGUCCUCAGGUGGCAGUACUGAGUAGUGUUUCUAUCAAGAUGAUGCUGCCUUCUUACAUGUCCACUGAUGAACUCACACCUGAAUGGACUACAGGAGGUGAGGCCUAGAGCAGUGAUUCUCAACCUUCCUAAUGCUGAGACCCUUUAAUACAGUUCUUCAUUCUGUGCUGACCCCCCCAACCAUAAAAUUAUUUUCACUGCUACUUCACAACUAUAAUUUUGCUAUUGUUAUGAAACAUAAUGUAAAUAUCUGAUAUGCAGGAUAUCUGGUAUGUGAGCUCUCUGAAAGGGUUGUUCAAACGCCCCCCCCCAAAGGGGUUGCAACCCACAGGUUGAGAACCACCAGUCUAGAGGGAGGAAGUAAGUGGGUGGGGCCUUGACUUUAAAAGGUGUAUCUUAUCCCCAACCCUCUUUCCAUCCCCCUCCAUUUCCUUCCUUCUCUCCCUCCUCCCACCCCUCUGGUACACCACCGAGGAGCCAGUUUGCUCUAACACAUACCACUCAACAUAAUCUUCUGCCUCACCAUGCAAGGCCCACAAGUAACAGAAGUGAAUGGCUAGGGAUUGAAGCCUCUGAAACUGUGACAGAAUCGAUGUGUUCCUUUUUUGGGUGUUCUUUUCUCAGUUAUCUUGCCACAGUGAUAAGUGACUGAUCAAGACACAAUCUCAGGUUCCUCAGAAGCUCCAGCUUACCCACUAGAAUUAGCUAAGGUUGGCCCUGACCUUCUGUAGAAUGUUCCAUCUGAAUACCCCAGAAUGCUUUCAGAAGUGCUUGAAUUCACCAACACCUGCCAGCUCUUACAUCGGUGAUUAAAAGCCCAGAGCCAGCCAGAGAUUCUAGAAGCUGUCAAAACUGUUACUCUUUCCCUCAGGAAGGUUUCACCACCACCACCACCUCCUGCACAUCGUAUUUCUAUCUUCACUAUUCCAGCUCACCAUGAUCCAUCAUAUGGCCACAAGCUGUUAAAGCUCUGUAGACAUGUGGCUGGCCUCCCCUUCCCCCUACCCCUCCUUGCCGACUAACACCUGUCCUUUGCCUUCUCCCAUGUCAGAACUGCACCCAUUAUUGGCAGCUUCGUUGGCAUUUCUUCCAAAUUCCUGAAGCUGCUGGUGACUCAUCCUCUCUUGUCAUCAAGGAUCAUUGCUGUGCUGUACACAAUGCUCCACAUGAAGUUCAUGUUAGCUGUUCUCUGAUACCUUUCAUCAAAGUGCUCUGAAGGCUUAAUCUGAUGACCCAGAGGCAAACCUCAUGAUCUCCAGUUUUAUAACUGGCAGGGUCAAACUAGUCAUCCUGUUUGCCCCUCCUCAGGAGGGAGUCAGGUUUCUAAGUCACAGAGCAUUCAUUUGGGUAAGGGCUAUCAUAUCCAUAGCAUCCCCGGCCUUCUUUAGAGAGACCUGGCUGAACUGUCCCACCAGUAUGCUACUGGCACACAUGGCCCUUCAGCACAAGCCUCUUUCCACAGUGUCCUUGCAUUCCCCAGGGAAAUAUUUUUCUGGAAAAGAACUGAUCAUUCACUAGGAUGAACUGGAACUCAGAAUGCUGCUGCAAGACAAAUAUCACGGGUCCUCCUGGCACUGAUAAAGCUGUAUGAAAUAGCAAAGUCUUAGUAAUUGCAUUCAUUGUCCUAGCGUCGUGGCUCCUGUGGUCAGUCUUCACUGCCAACUUGACUAGGUUUAGGGUCGCCAUGGAAACACACCUCUGGAUGUUUGUAUGAGGGCUCUCCCUGACAUGUUUGACAGAGGUGGGAACACCUAUCCUGAAUGUGGGUGGCACUGUACCAUAGGAGAAAGAAAGCUGAGAGCCAGCAUUCAUCUUUUCCUGCUUCCUGACUUCUGAGGCAAUGCCACCAGCUGCCUCAAACUUCCACCACCAUGCUUUCCCUUCCAUGAUGGGCUAUUCCCUCAAACUAUGAGUAAAAUAAA